CCUACGGGUGGCUGCAGUCGAGAAUCAUUCACAAUGGGGGAAACCCUGAUGGUGCGACGCCGCGUGGGGGAAUGAAGGUCUUCGGGUUGUAAACCCCUGUCAUGUGGGAGCAAAUUAAAAAGAUAGUACCACAAGAGGAAGAGACGGCUAACUCUGUGCCAGCAGCCGCGGUAAUACAGAGGUCUCAAGCGUUGUUCGGAAUCACUGGGCGUAAGGCGUGCGUAGGCUGUUUCGUAAGUCGUGUGUGAAAGGCGCGGGCUCAACCCGCGGACGGCACAUGAUACUGCGAGACUAGAGUAAUGGAGGGGGAACCGGAAUUCUCGGUGUAGCAGUGAAAUGCGUAGAUAUCGAGAGGAACACCCGUGGCGAAGGCGGGUUCCUGGACAUUAACUGACGCUGAGGCACGAAGGCCAGGGGAGCGAAAGGGAUUAGAUACCCGUGUAGUC
rnacentral:rRNA from 1 species